GAUGGAAAGCAUUCCCGAUGCCCUUCAUGUGCUGCAAGGAGACGGCAGGAGAAAAAGAGACAGACGGGACACAGAGGAUAUCGCUUUUGUCCUUCAUCUGCCCCAACAAUCCUCGCCUUCUGCUCCAUUACGGAUGAGCGUCGAGUCCCGAAGACGCUCGCAGGGCCGCGCGGCUUGAACAACCGUACUUGGUUUUCUGAAAAUUGCCCCUCGUGCGAGCGCGAGCUGACGGCGUGCCCACUGGCACCAUCUUCACAGGGAGCGCGGGUCCAGGAUUUCCCUCGUGGCGCCUUGGCAUUUACCCACAGUGUUGCUCGAGUCCCUCAGUUCUGUGACCUAUGACCACUUCUAGAAGAUUCUUCUGGUUUGUUCAUCCAUAACUGGCGAAUACCCGCUCCUCCGUCCACCAUCAACCUCCAGUGACCUCCGUACUCCUCCAGUCAUCUGUACCUGACCGGACACCUCCAACCCCCACAAGCUACCUAAGCUCCAGUGAACUAACUUCCCCUCCCUGGCAGAACAUCCUCCUCUCACCAGUAAGCUAAAAAUCAGUCGUCACACAUUCUCUGUAGAGAACUUUAAAGUGAAAACGUUAAAAUCCAAUUCAGCAUUUAUUUAAAAUAACUUCAAUAACAUUUUGAUCCAAAUUAUUUUGGGUGUUUACAUAUCUUUCUGUAACUUAUAAGCUUCAGAAAGUCCCAGGCAAGUAUGUAGGAGUAGCUUCGUAAAAACAAUAAGAAUGAAAACGUUCACAAAUAAUGAACGAGCUGUUUUUGAGAUCAAAGAUCACGCAGGGUAAGGAAUUUGAAACAGUGGCUUCCAUGGCAACACAUCAACACAUGAAGCGAUGACAGGAAGGCAUUCAGUGAGAUGGAGACGGGUUGAAGGACAGAAAACGAGGAGAGAGCGAGGAUGAUCGGAGGAAGAGCCGGGAGAGAUGCUGCGCUCGCCUCUGGCCCCCGUGGCUGCAUCUGAUGCUCUAAGUGUGCCGCCGCGAACACGCUCCCGUCUUUGUCUCCUCCAGAGGAGAGCGAGGGUACAGCCAAUCAGCACCAAGGAAAAUAAAUGCGACCAACAGCUUGGCAGGGAGUGAAAUCUGUGCAUCGGGGGCAGCAGUUGGAGCAAAGAGCUUCACUCCAGAGGCCUGUUGGGCGACGAGACCUGGGGCUUGCCUGAAGGCAUGGCCGGUCUGGAGGAGCCCUUAGCUGGGCAGCAGCUAAAUAAAAGAUGGGAGGGAAGUGUCAGUCUGUGAGGCCAGGAGCGGAUGGAGGGGCCCUCAUUAGUUUCAUCUGAAGGAAACAAACUGAUGUUAGGUUUGACAGCAGAAAGAUGAAAACCAAAGUCUCCUUUUGGGCUUUGAUAAAAACAAUACGAAACUUUAUUACCUAAUUGUGGUUAUUGUUUCUGAUUUAAUCUUUGAUUCCUGACGAUUAGAGUUAUUGCUCUUCCUCUUAACAAACCCUCACGCCCUCUUGUUCAGAAAAGUAGCAGGGUCUGCACCAAAAUAACAUCACAGGACUGUGCCGUGCAGCCCCUCACGAACUCGAGGUCUGGGCUGGUCUCCAUUUGCGUAGUCCAAGAGGACCUUUGGUGUCAGACGGAGCGACCUACAUGCUCCGGCUAUGAUUAUAUGAGGGUGGGGAAGAGGUGUUGUU